AAUCAACGCUGGCGGCGUGCCUCAGACAUGCAAGUCGAACGCGAAACCUUCCUUCGGGAGGGGAGUAGAGUGGCGCACGGGUGAGUAACACGUAGGUAAUCUACCUUUGGGUGGGAAGUAACAGCCGGAACGGCUGCUAAUACCGCAUAAUGCAGCGGCUCGACAUCGAGACAGUUGUUAAAGCGGGGGAGUCGUAAGACCUCGCGCCUAAAGAGGAGCCUGCGGCAGAUAG
rnacentral:rRNA from 1 species